rnacentral:rRNA from 1 species
CCCGCUAUCGGAUGAGCCUAUGUCGGAUUAGCUAGUUGGUGAGGUAACGGCUCACCAAGGCCACGAUCCGUAGCUGGUCUGAGAGGAUGAUCAGCCACAUCGGGACUGAGACACGGCCCGAACUCCUACGGGAGGCAGCAGUGGGGAAUAUUGGACAAUGGGGGGAACCCUGAUCCAGCCAUGCCGCGUGUGUGAAGAAGGCCCUCGGGUUGUAAAGCACUUUCAGCGAGGAAGAACGCCUAGCGGUUAAUACCCGCUAGGAAAGACAUCACUCGCAGAAGAAGCACCGGCUAACUCCGUGCCAGCAGCCGCGGUAAUACGGAGGGUGCAAGCGUUAAUCGGAAUUACUGGGCGUAAAGCGCGCGUAGGUGGCUUGAUAAGCCGGUUGUGAAAGCCCCGGGCUCAACCUGGGAACGGCAUCCGGAACUGUCAAGCUAGAGUGCAGGAGAGGAAGGUAGAAUUCCCGGUGUAGCGGUGAAAUGCGUAGAGAUCGGGAGGAAUACCAGUGGCGAAGGCGGCCUUCUGGACUGACACUGACACUGAGGUGCGAAAGCGUGGGU